UAAAUACUAAUUGAUUCCAUUUGGAUUCAACCGUGCAAGGUGCCUUUAUGCUAUAUUCGAUUAAAUUUGUCAUCAUGAUUCAUAUGAGAAGAGUGCCCCAAGAAAAUGUCACCACAGGUUUAUGAAUCCACCCAUGUCGCUUCUUUUGUGACGUUUUUUUUUCCUGAUUUCAGCUUGUCUCCAUGGUGUACUUUCGAAUGUAUGAAUAUCUUGGUCGUGUUGUACGUCUGUGCUCUUUACAUCGUCUGGAUCAGCAAGUUCAAAGGGAAGGGAAUUUGAUUCCAGAUAGCAAUACACCACCAAAAAUCAAAAUUAAAGAAUUUUCUAAAUUUUGGCUCUCCUGCAACAUUGGUGGAGUAAUAACAAAAUGACAGAUUUCUUAAAUUUGUUUAGGCUCCACCAAGGACACAGCAUCCCUGGAUCUGUGUGAGCUUAGUAAUCGCCAAUCCAUCACCCUUACUCAAAGAGACAUUAGGAAACAUAACCACCGUGAAGGGGUUUCAAAUUUCUGAUGAUGGUCCUCAACUGAGACUUUUACCUGACAACAAUAUUCUGCGCAGCAACCUGCCUGUUGGAGAAAAAAAAAACAAUAUUCUGCGCAACAACCUGACCAAGGCCACAUAACCAUGCGGGGAAGACAACAGCCAGAGAUAUACAAAUACAAGGACAAAAAUGCAAGGAUAUAAAGUUAGAGCGUUUUUUCAAGGAGGCUGUGAUCAAAUGAGGUGUAAAUUCGCUCACAGAAAUUACGACAGAUUCAAUCCUAGCAUAACAGGAACUGGGCUCAGCAUGGAGAAGAUACAUGAUACUGGGUUUCUUCUGACAUUGCAUAGGCAUGGACGCUACCUUGAGUAUGCUAAUUAUUGAUCGGGGAAGAAGGUAGCCAAAGCCAUAACAAGGUCAAACCAGCUAAAUGAUGUUUUGGACGUCUGCUGGCUUUCAUUGCCAGCAGGGACAUUGCCACGUGGGAAAGACAACAGCUGGAGAUGUACAAGGACAAAAUUGCAAGGAGAUAAAGAGCGUUUUUUCAAGGAGGUUGUGAAUAUGUGAUCAAAUGAGGUGUAAACUCGCUCACAGAAAUUACAGGGUUGCCUCAACAAUUCAACAUGUGUAAUUUUUUUUGCCCAACUACAUUUGUAAAAUCAUGAGCUCUGAAGUCAUUUAAUCAUGUGAGUGUAAUAGUACUCACCCAGCAUUACUACAGAUUCAA